rnacentral:lncRNA from 1 species
GGUUUGCGUCGCGCGUAGCCCUCCCCCCCUCCCCACUCGAGGAGAUGGUACGUUCCGCCGACCAGCCCUCCCGACGUCCGUUGGCGCUGGGGCAGGAGCUGCUGGCGAGCGGGGCGCGCGCGAGUGGUGCCGCGAGCCGAGCCGAGCCGAGCCGAGCCGAGCCCCCAGCUGCAGCGGGCCGAGCCCUGCGUCCGGCUGGCCCCGGCCCCGCCCGGGGGGCAUGACUCUGUUCGGCAGCGAGGACGGGUGCUGGAGAUACUUGGACAUGGCCAGAGAACCCAAGCCGAGCCGAGCCAGGCCUGGACAGAAGCGGCAGCAUGGCGGCACCCUCUACCACAGUAACUGUGACCUGGACUAUGAGCUCUACAGGGACGAUUUCCCUUACAGGGUGUACGAGUACCAGAAGAUCCCGCCCCUUAUUAAUCGCAUUCCGGUCAAGACCAGACGAGCCCACGUGGGAGCAGGGGGCAAGAGCAGCCUGAUCCCCCACCCGGGGCCGCGAGGCAGCAGCAACGCACCGUUGGGUCGGACAAAGCGUAAGCAUUCCGGCUCGCGGGGGCGGGCGGGGGCUAACUGGAGGGGAUGCUAGGGACACUGAGAGGAAGUGGAGAGUGUCCUGGGGAGG